rnacentral:lncRNA from 12 species
CCGGAGGACUGGCUUCUCCAGGGAUGACUAGCGAUCUUAGUGAGUUCGUCUAUAUGGAUAGAGUGAAAUAAUUGAGUAUUUGAUUCAGUUAAGUGUUUACUACUUUACUUCAGCAACAAAAAGGGACUUCAAGAAGUCUAAGGAUCAUCUGCAGAGAAAAGAACACUGGCCACCAGGAAUGAAUUUGGGGAAGCUUGUUAUAGAGGCGGCAUUCUAAAGAUAUUUUAUUUAUUUAUUCAUGAGAGACAUAGAGAGGCAGAGACACAGGCAGACGGAGAAGCAGGCUCCAAGCAGGAAGCCCGACAUGGGACUCAAUCCCGGGUCUCCAGGAUCAUGCCCUGAGCCAAAGGCAGGUGCUAAACUGCUGAGCCACCCAGGGAUCCCCAGGGUGUUAAACUUCUGAUAUAUCUCACCUGAGAGAAAGAAGAAACUUCCUCCAUGAGGAUAUUAGGAAGCACCCAAAGACAAUCAUUUUUUUCACCCCAGGCUCAGUUAUUUGUAACUCAUUUACAAUUCUGUCUUUGUAAACCUUCAGAAAUUGAUAUAUAGCAUCUAUUUAAGGAGAACUUAUUAAUGUAAAAGGGACCAACUUGGCUCUUGAAUUUCAAAUGUUAUCUUAAUUAAAUUGGUGUUCUUGUAC